UUAUGCUAAUAAGAGCGUAUGGUGGAUGCCUUGGCACUAAGAGCCGAUGAAAGACGUGAUAAGCUGCGAAAAGCUUCGGGGAGGAGCAAAUAUCCUUUGAUCCGGAGAUAUCUGAAUGGGGAAACCCGGCUGAGUAACCCUCAGUCACCAUAACGUAAAUACAUAGCGUUAUGGAGGGAACCCGGUGAACUGAAACAUCUAAGUAGCCGGAGGAAGAGAAAGAAACAUCGAUUCCGGAAGUAGCGGCGAGCGAACCCGGAAGAGCCCAAACCAGUGUGCGUGCAUGCUGGGGUUAAGGACUGCAUAAGUGAGCCGAUCUGUUAAUGGAACUGCCUGGGAAGGCAGGCCAGAGAGGGUGAAAGCCCCGUACAUGAAAACGGUAGGCAGCGGCAGGAUCCAGAGUACCGCGAGACACGAGAAACCUUGCGGGAAGUCGGAGGGACCACCCUCCAAGGCUAAAUACUCCUUAGUGACCGAUAGCGCAUAGUACUGUGAAGGAAAGGUGAAAAGGACCCCGGGAGGGGAGUGAAAGAGAACCUGAAACCCUGUGUUUACAAGCUGUGGGAGCACGUUAAGGUGCAACCGCGUACUUUUUGUAGAACGGUCCGGCGAGUUGCCGGUGCUGGCAAGGUUAAAUGGUACAGCCAUGGAGCCGAAGGGAAACCAAGUCUCAAAUGGGCGUAAAGUCAGCACAGGCAGACCCGAAACCGGGUGACCUAUCCAUGUCCAGGAUGAAGCGGAAGUAAAAUUCCGUGGAGGUCCGGAUCCACAUCCGUUGAAAAGGGUGGGAAUGAGGUGUGGAUAGGGGAGAAAUUCCAAUCGAACCCGGAGAUAGCUGGUUCUCCUCGAAAUAGCUUUAGGGCUAGCCCCGUAUUAGUUUAGCGGAGGUAGAGCACUGAAUUCCUAAGGGGGCGUCAAAGCUUACCAAGGGAUAUCAAACUCCGAAUGCCGCAUAAAUGAUGUACGGGAGUCAGACUGCACGAGAUAAGUUGGGCAGUCAAAAGGGAAAGAGCCCAGACCUACAGCUAAGGUCCCAAAGUGUGUGUUAAGUGGAAAAGGAUGUGGGAUUUCAGAGACAACUAGGAUGUUGGCUUAGAAGCAGCCACACAUUCAAAGAGUGCGUAAUAGCUCACUAGUCGAGAGGUCCUGCGCCGAAAAUGUCCGGGGCUAAAACACAACACCGAAGCUUAGGAAUGUAGAAAUACAUUGGUAGAGGAGCAUUCUUAAAGGAAUGAAGCAGUACCGAUAAGGAGCUGUGGACUUUUAAGAAGAGAGAAUGCCGGAAUGAGUAGCGAGAUGGAGGUGGGAAUCCUCCAGGCCGAAUAUCCAAGGUUUCCAGAGUAAAGCUGAUCUGCUCUGGGUAAGUCGGGGCCUAAGGUAAGGCUGAGAAGCGUAGCCGAUGGACAACAGGUUGAGAUUCCUGUACCGCGUAUCAUCAGAACUGUGGGGACACAGAAGGACAGCACAUCCCGGGAAUGGAAAGACCGGGGCAAGCAGGGUAGGAGUUAAGCUGGCAAAUCCGCUUAACAAUCCGAAGCUGUGAUGCGGAGCGAAUUUAAGUAGCGAAGUGUGCGAUUCCGGCUGUCAAGAAAAGCCGCUAUUGUGUGAUACGUGCCCGUACCGUAAACCGACACAGGUAGAUGAGGAGAGAAUCCUAAGGCCGGCGGGAGAAGCAUUGUUAAGGAACUCGGCAAAAUGACCCUGUAACUUCGGGAGAAAGGGUGCCUGGGAAACCAGGCCGCAGAGAAUAGGCUCAAGCAACUGUUUAGCAAAAACACAGGUCUAUGCAAAACCGUAAGGUGAGGUAUAUGGGCUGACGCCUGCCCGGUGCUGGAAGGUUAAGAGGAGGGGUUAGCGCAAGCGAAGCUCUGAAUUGAAGCCCCAGUAAACGGCGGCCGUAACUAUAACGGUCCUAAGGUAGCGAAAUUCCUUGUCGGGUAAGUUCC
rnacentral:rRNA from 1 species